UCUAGUUUGGCAGAUUAAAUGCACUAAGUUUAGAUCUUAGGGAUGCCGCGGCAACUAGAA
rnacentral:tRNA from 1 species